rnacentral:rRNA from 1 species
GACGAACGCUGGCGGCGUGCUUAACACAUGCAAGUCGAACGGUGAAGGGACCGGUUUUUGCUGGUUCUGGAUGAGUGGCGAACGGGUGAGUAACACGUGAGUAACCUGCCCCCUUCUUCUGGAUAACCGCAUGAAAGUGUGGCUAAUACGGGAUAUUCUGCGCCUGCUGCAUGGUGGGUGUGGGCAAGAUAUUGUUUCGGUGGGGGAUGGGCUCGCGGCCUAUCAGCUUGUUGGUGGGGUGAUGGCCUACCAAGGCGGUGACGGGUAGCCGGCCUGAGAGGGUGGACGGUCACACUGGGACUGAGACACGGCCCAGACUCCUACGGGAGGCAGCAGUGGGGAAUAUUGCACAAUGGGCGCAAGCCUGAUGCAGCGACGCCGCGUGAGGGAUGGAGGCCUUCGGGUUGUAAACCUCUUUCGCCAGUGAAGCAGGCCUGUCCCUUUUGUGGGUGGGUUGACGGUAGCUGGAUAAGAAGCGCCGGCUAACUACGUG